rnacentral:rRNA from 1 species
GACGAACGCUGGCGGCGUGCCUAAUACAUGCAAGUAGAACGCUGAAGGAGGAGCUUGCUUCUCCGGAUGAGUUGCGAACGGGUGAGUAACGCGUAGGUAACCUGCCUGGUAGCGGGGGAUAACUAUUGGAAACGAUAGCUAAUACCGCAUAAUAGCAGUUAUUGCAUGAUAACUGUUUGAAAGGUGCAAUUGCACCACUACCAGAUGGACCUGCGUUGUAUUAGCUAGUUGGUGGGGUAACGGCUCACCAAGGCGACGAUACAUAGCCGACCUGAGAGGGUGAUCGGCCACACUGGGACUGAGACACGGCCCAGACUCCUACGGGAGGCAGCAGUAGGGAAUCUUCGGCAAUGGACGGAAGUCUGACCGAGCAACGCCGCGUGAGUGAAGAAGGUUUUCGGAUCGUAAAGCUCUGUUGUAAGAGAAGAACGAGUGUGAGAGUGGAAAGUUCACACUG